UUUUCCCUUUUGCCAUGUAAUGCAACCUACUCGUGGGUGCCCAGGAUUGAGAUUGGACGUCUUUGGGAACCAUUACUCGGCCCAUCACAUCUGAGUAUGUUGAAGUCACCGAGGAUCAAGGAGACAGCACUGCUGGAGAGGGCGAUAGUGAACCAGGAACUACAAGAGUCAGGACUGAGAGGAACGGCCUGGGGCCCACAGGGAAUGGCUGCAAUGAGGGGAGUGGGGCCUGAAUCUGAUGACAGCUUUGGGGGCUUAGGAAGGAAGGAGGCAGAAAGGUCUGAGAACCACAGUGAGGAGUGAGGAUGCCACCCCACCUCUGGGCCAAGGGUACAAGGUCCCUGUGCAAACUCCCCCAUGUGGGAGGACUUUGGAAGGGACCACAUCCUCUGGCAGACACAGACAUCGCUGGAGCUGUGAGGUCCAGGAACAUCCUGAGACAGGAUGUGGAGGUUUUGCUGAUCAUGGGCUGAGAAUUCCAAGGGGCACAGCGGGAAGACUUCUGGAUUUGGGAAUGGGGUAUGGGGAGACAAAAUAGGGGUGUGCAGAGCCUUGUGGGGAUGUGAAUGCAGGGUGUUUGGGGGACCCAGUGUGACUGACACAAACAGGGAAAAGGCAUGAUGAGCUCAGUCCUGGUGGACUCAAGGCAGAUGAUGGUGCUGAGGCUGUGGGAGACGAGGGAGGAGGCUCAGGGGUGGCUUUCACCUGGGCUCUGUCCAUGGAGGUGAGGACAGGGAGAUAGUUGGGCCUCAGUGCUGUGUGGACCCUUUCUUGUCUCCCUGAUGACUGGAUGGAGGGCCUGGAGGAAGAGGGGUCUUAGAGGAUUCACUCAUGUCCCUGGGGGAGGGGGACUCACUCCAGGUCUCAGGUCUGCACUGACACAUUUGUUUGUGGCUUGGGGCUGCCUGCUAUAAACUAUUGGGGGUUCGUCCAUUUUGGAGUUAUAACCUAAGGCAGAAACUCAGAUGGUUCAAAUGUCCUCUUCAUGAAGCAAUGUUAUCAGCGUAUCAUUUAGAUUGUCUUGCAAGAGUCUCAUUUGUUGUUUUUCUAAAUGCCUGCCAAUAUUGUUUGAAAAUCUACAAAUGUGAUAAAUGUAUCUUCAAAGUUAACUGGUUGCAGGUUGUUUAACCUUAUAUGUACAGUUUCACAUAUGUAUAAAAACAGUAGUUUGGGCCUCUUA
rnacentral:lncRNA from 10 species